rnacentral:rRNA from 1 species
CCUACGAGAGGCAGCAGUGGGGAAUAUUGGGCAAUGGGCGCAAGCCUGACCCAGCAACGCCGCGUGAAGGAAGAAGGCUUUCGGGUUGUAAACUUCUUUUCUCAGGGACGAAGCAAGUGACGGUACCUGAGGAAUAAGCCACGGCUAACUACGUGCCAGCAGCCGCGGGAAGACGUAGGUGGCAAGCGUUAUCCGGAUUUACUGGGUGUAAAGGGCGUGUAGGCGGGAAAGCAAGUCAGAUAUGAAAACCAUGGGCUCAACCUGUGGCCUGCAUUUGAAACUGUUUUUCUUGAGUACUGGAGAGGCAGACGGAAUUCCUAGUGUAGCGGUUAAAUGCGUAGAUAUUAGGAGGAACACCAGUGGCGAAGGCGGUCUGCUGGACAGCAACUGACGCUGAGGCGCGAAAGCGUGGGGAGCAAACAGGAUUAGAUACCCGAGUAGUC